rnacentral:rRNA from 1 species
UACGAGGAGAAGCGCCCAA